rnacentral:rRNA from 1 species
AAGACCUUGCGCUUUUGGAGCGGCCGAUGCCUGAUUAGCUUGUUGGUAAGGUAAAAGCUUACCAAGGCUUCGAUCAGUAGCUGGUCUGAGAGGACGACCAGCCACACUGGGACUGAGACACGGCCCAGACUCCUACGGGAGGCAGCAGUGGGGAAUUUUGGACAAUGGGGGCAACCCUGAUCCAGCCAUGCCGCGUGAGUGAAGAAGGCCUUCGGGUUGUAAAGCUCUUUCAGCCGGAAMGAAACGGUURCGGUUAACACCCGUGACUACUGACGGUACCGGAAGAAGAAGCACCGGCUAACUACGUGCCAGCAGCCGCGGUAAUACGUAGGGUGCGAGCGUUAAUCGGAAUUACUGGGCGUAAAGGGUGCGCAGGUGGUUUUGUAAGUCAGAUGUGAAAGCCCCGGGCUCAACCUGGGAACU